UCCGGUUUGUCACCGGCAGUCUCAUUAGAGUGCCCUUGCGUAGCAACUAAUGAUAAGGGUUGCGCUCGUUGCGCCACUUAAGGCAACACCUCACGGCACGAGCUGACGACGACCAUGCAGCACCUGUGCGGGCUCCCGAAGGAGGACCGUAUUUCUACGGCUUCACCCCGCAUGUCAAGCCCUGGUAAGGUUCUUCGCGUCGCGUCGAAUUAAGCCACAUGCUCCGCCGCUUGUGCGGGCCCCCGUCAAUUCCUUUGAGUUUUAGCCUUGCGGCCGUACUCCCCAGGCGGAGUGCUUAACGCGUUAGCUGCGGCGCCGCAGGGGUCAAUACCCGCGACACCAAGCAUCCAUCGUUUACAGCUAGGACUAA
rnacentral:misc_RNA from 1 species